rnacentral:rRNA from 1 species
GACGAACGCUGGCGGCGUGCUUAACACAUGCAAGUCGAACGGAAAGGCCCUGCUUUUGUGGGGUGCUCGAGUGGCGAACGGGUGAGUAACACGUGAGUAACCUGCCCUUGACUUUGGGAUAACUUCAGGAAACUGGGGCUAAUACCGGAUAGGAGCUCCUGCUGCAUGGUGGGGGUUGGAAAGUUUCGGCGGUUGGGGAUGGACUCGCGGCUUAUCAGCUUGUUGGUGGGGUAGUGGCUUACCAAGGCUUUGACGGGUAGCCGGCCUGCGAGGGUGACCGGGCACAUUGGGACUGAGAUACGGCCCAGACUCGUACGGGAGGCAGCAGUGGGGAAUAUUGCACAAUGGGCGGAAGCCUGAUGCAGCAACGCCGCGUGCGGGAUGACGGCCUUCGGGUUGUAAACCGCUUUCGCCUGUGACGAAGCGUGAGUGACGGUAAUGGGUAAAGAAGCACCGGCUAACUACGUG